rnacentral:rRNA from 1 species
GUGCCAGCAGCCGCGGUAAGACAGAGGUGCCAAGCGUUAGGCGGAAUCACUGGGCUUAAAGCGUGUGUAGGCGGAUCGUUAAGUACCUUGUGAAAUCCCACGGCUCAACCGUGGAACUGCUCGGUAUACUGGCGGUCUUGAGCCACCUAGGGGCAACUGGAACAAGCGGUGGAGCGGUGAAAUGCGUAGAUAUCGCUUGGAACGCCAACGGUGAAAACAGGUUGCUGGGGGUGUGCUGACGCUGAGACACGAAAGCCAGGGGAGCGAACGGGAUUAGAAACCCUAGUAGUCC